rnacentral:misc_RNA from 1 species
AAAAAAAAAAAAAAAAACUAUUUCUUUCCCCUUCUCAGGACUCGAGUGUUGAGUCUUGCAAAAGGCCGAGCGAGCUGAAAUGAUAAUUCGAUGCACGUAUAGCCCGUCAAAUCAUGAAACAGGCGACGGAAUUUUCUUUUUCUUUGAUGUGUUCGGUAGCUUUUUGACUGUAUUUAUCUAACUUCACCUCUAUCAAAGCCCUUGCUUAACGGCCAAAACUACCCAAUGCAAAGGGAAUCCCGUAA